AUUGAACGCUGGCGGCAGGCCUAACACAUGCAAGUCGAACGAGUGGCGGACGGGUGAGUAAUGUCUGGGAAACUGCCUGAUGGAGGGGGAUAACUACUGGAAACGGUAGCUAAUACCGCAUACCAUCGGAUGUGCCCAGAUGGGAUUAGCUAGUAGGUGGGGUAAAGGCUCACCUAGGCGACGAGCCCUAGCUGGUCUGAGAGGAUGACCACCCACACGGGAACUGAGACACGGACCAGGCGCCUAAGGGAGGCAGCAGUGGGGAAUAUGGCGCAAUGGGCGCGAGCCUGAUGCAGCCAUGCCACGUGUAUGAAGAAGGCCUUCGGGUUGUAAAGUACUUUCAGCGGGUGGGCGUUACCCGCAGAAGAAGCACCGGCUAACUCCGUGCCAGCAGCCGCGGUAAUAC
rnacentral:rRNA from 1 species